rnacentral:rRNA from 1 species
CGGCACGGGUGAGUAACACGUAUCCAACCUGCCGUCUACUCUUGGACAGCCUUCUGAAAGGAAGAUUAAUACAAGAUGGCAUCAUGAGUUCACAUGUUCACAUGAUUAAAGGUAUUCCGGUAGACGAUGGGGAUGCGUUCCAUUAGAUAGUAGGCGGGGUAACGGCCCACCUAGUCUUCAAUGGAUAGGGGUUCUGAGAGGAAGGUCCCCCACAUUGGAACUGAGACACGGUCCAA